rnacentral:rRNA from 1 species
UACGUAGGGUGCGAGCGUUGUCCGGAAUUAUUGGGCGUAAAGAGCUUGUAGGCGGUUUGUCGCGUCUGCUGUGAAAAUCCGGGGCUCAACCCCGGACUUGCAGUGGGUACGGGCAGACUAGAGUGUGGUAGGGGAGACUGGAAUUCCUGGUGUAGCGGUGAAAUGCGCAGAUAUCAGGAGGAACACCGGUGGCGAAGGCGGAUCUCUGGGCCUUACCUGACGCUCAGGCGCGAAAGCUAGGGGAGCGAACUGG